GUGCUUGCUACAGCUGCACAUAUACUAAAUUUGGAUAGAUACAGAGAAGAUUAGAAUGGCCCCUCCGAAAGGA
ensembl:snRNA U6 U6 spliceosomal RNA